rnacentral:rRNA from 1 species
UGGGGGAUAUUGCACAAUGGGCGAAAGCCUGAUGCAGCGACGCCGCGUGGGGGAUGAAGGCCUUCGGGUUGUAAACUUCUUUUGCUCUGAACAAGGCAUGCUAAUGGGUGUGUUGAGUGUAGGGGUUGAUUAGCGCCGGCUAACUACGUGCCAGCAGCCGCGGUAAUACGUAGGGCGCGAGCGUUGUCCGGAAUUAUUGGGCGUAAAGGGCUUGUAGGUGGCUGGUUGCGUCUGUCGUGAAAGCUCAUGGCUUAACUGUGGGUUUGCGGUGGGUGCGGGCUGGCUUGAGUGCAGUAGGGGAGGCUGGAAUUCCUGGUGUAGCGGUGGAAUGCGCAGAUAUCAGGAGGAAUACCGGUGGCGAAGGCGGGUCUCUGGGCUGUUACUGACACUGAGGAGCGAAAGCAUGGGGAGCGAACAGG